rnacentral:rRNA from 1 species
ACGGAAGGCAGCAGUGGGGAAUAUUGCACAAUGGGCGAAAGCCUGAUGCAGCGACGCCGCGUGAACGAAGAAGUAUUUCGGUAUGUAAAGUUCUAUCAGCAGGGAAGAAGAAUGACGGUACCUGACUAAGAAGCACCGGCUAAAUACGUGCCAGCAGCCGCGGUAAUACGUAUGGUGCAAGCGUUAUCCGGAUUUACUGGGUGUAAAGGGAGCGCAGGCGGUAUGGCAAGUCUGAUGUGAAAGCCCGGGGCUCAACCCCGGUACUGCAUUGGAAACUACCAGACUAGAGUGUCGGAGAGGUAAGUGGAAUUCCUAGUGUAGCGGUGAAAUGCGUAGAUAUUAGGAGGAACACCAGUGGCGAAGGCGGCUUACUGGGCGAUAACUGACGCUGAGGCUCGAAAGCGUGGGGAGCAAACAGGAUUAGAUACCCUGGUA